AGAUGAUGUCAUCAAGGGCGGCAAACAGCGGAUAUAGAGACUGAACUCCGAGUCCUUAAGGGGUCGUAAAGCUAACGCGACUACUCCCAGUUCAUUACCGUUAUAUCGGUAUUACUAGUGGGGUUUUGAUUAUAUUUUGAUAAUAUACAUCAUGGGUAGCAGGUAUCCAUCGGUUAAAAACAUCCUAAGAGGGUGUUUCUACUUUGUGUUCUUGUUGCUGAUGCACAGAGUGUCCCUGGAGAAUGUCCCUGUUGUUGCUUUUACAGGCGGAACUGUGAUUUUGCCAUGUUCAAACAAUGAUAAUAAACUCCAAAGUGAUUUUGCAGGAUUCUUUUGGUGACAGAAUGACAGCAAUACUGUGCUUGACAAAGGGUGGCA